UCGGCCGCGCGGCCGAGCCGGAGUCGUGUGCACGUAGGGUGGGAGGCGGAGGGCCGCGGCCGCCGCUGCCAGACGUGUGACCGUCGCCCGUCUACAUUACAGGUGUGGCGAUGCGCCUGUUUCGGCGUCGGGGGUCCGACUCGGCCCCCCAGCUGGUCAGCCUGUCGCCCCUCCGGCGGGAGGAGGGUGGUGACCCGGAGGACCCCACAGCGCCGCCCCUCAUCAAACCCUCCAUCAUCUACAUAUCGGCCGACGAGCAGCAUCGCAAAGAUGGGUCGACCUGGGGUCGCCGCGUGGGUCGCCGUCUGUCGCGUCUGACCCGGUCAGGCAGCAGCGAGCAGAUCAGCGGCCCCAGCUCGGGCCGGCGGCGGUGGC